rnacentral:ncRNA from 1 species
UCAUUUACUCGGAUUAAAAGGGAAUCAGGUGUGAGUCCUGAACAGUCCCGCUGCUGUGAAGCUCCGAUAUACAUCUUGAAAUACCUCGUUGCCACUGGUUUUUAGCCGGGAAGGCUUCAAGAUGGGAGUCAGUCAGAAGACCUGCCGUUACUCUUU